rnacentral:rRNA from 1 species
UGGGGAAUUGUUCGCAAUGGGCGCAAGCCUGACGACGCAACGCCGCGUGGAGGAUGAAGAUCUUCGGGUCGUAAACUCCUGUCGAGCGGGACGAACACUUUCCGGAUGAACAAUCCGGAGAGCUGACGGUACCGCUAAAGGAAGCCCCGGCUAACUACGUGCCAGCAGCCGCGGUAAUACGUAGGGUGCGAGCGUUAAUCGGAAUUACUGGGCGUAAAGCGUGCGCAGGCGGUUUUGUAAGCCAGAUGUGAAAUCCCCGGGCUUAACCUGGGAAUGGCAUUUGGGACUGCAAGGCUGGAGUUUGGCAGAGGAGACUGGAAUUCCUGGUGUAGCAGUGAAAUGCGUAGAUAUCAGGAGGAAUACCGAUGGCGAAGGCAGGUCUCUGGGCUAUAACUGACGCUCAUGCACGAAAGCGUGGGGAGCAAA